UCGCUUGGAGGCUUCGGUCGGGAGCAGGUUCCUGCCUGUGACAUGGACAGAUGUAAAGAAAACUGUGUCUCCAGGACUGUUAAGACCUCCGUUCCCUUCGGUCCAAAACGCAUCUUGGUAACUGAGCAGAUUCUGUCUCAGAACCCAGGAUCUGCUAGCAGUGGCCAGGCCCAGAGGGUCCUAUGUCCUUCUAACUCCCAGCGUGUCCCUUCACAAGCCCAGAAACUUGUAGCAGGUCAGAAGCCGGCACCAAAGCAGUUGCCAGCUGCCAGUGUUUCUCGACCUGUGUCCCGGCCCAGAAGAGUGAGCAGCCUGCAGACCCCGGAAAUAAUUCUGAAAAGGAGCAGGCAUCCAUACAGAAGACCGGAGACACACAAAAAAAGGCAGUGGACUUUGGAAGAUUUUUGACAUUGGCCGCCCACUAGGAAAAGGGAAGUUUGGAAAUGUCUACUUGGCGAGGGAGAGACAAAGCAAGUUCAAACUGGCUUUGAAGGUACUGUUUAAAACACAGCUGGAGAAGGCCAACGUGGAGCACCAGCUUCGGAGAGAAGUAGAGAUCCAGUCGCACCUGCGGCACCCCAACAUCCUCAGGCUGUAUGGCUAUUUCCAUGAUGCCACCCGAGUUUAUCUGAUUCUAGAAUAUGCGCCCCUUGGAACAGUUUAUAGAGAGCUUCAAAAACUCUCCAAGUUUGACGAGCAGAGAACAGCCACUUACAUCACUGAGUUGGCAAACGCUCUGUCUUACUGCCAUUCAAAGAGAGUCAUCCACAGAGACAUUAAGCCAGAGAACUUGCUGCUUGGCUCAAACAGAGAGUUGAAGAUCGCAGACUUCGGGUGGUCUGUGCAUGCUCCAUCUUCCAGGAGAACCACGAUGUGUGGCACCCUGGACUACCUGCCCCCGGAGAUGAUCGAAGGCCGAAUGCAUGAUGAGAAGGUGGACCUCUGGAGCCUCGGCAUUCUCUGCUAUGAGUUCCUAGUGGGGAUGCCUCCGUUCGAGGCUCACACUUACCAGGAGAUCUACAGAAGGAUAUCGCAGGUUGAAUUCACUUUCCCUGACUUUGUGACGGAGGGAGCCAGGGACCUCAUUUCAAGACUGUUAAAACACAAUGCCAACCAAAGGCUAACACUAGCGGAAGUCUUUGAGCACCCUUGGAUAAAAGCUAAUUCUUCCAAACCUCCAACUGGCCACACUAGCAAAGAGCCAACUAGCAAAUCGUCUUAAGGAAUCCU